CCUACGGGAGGCUGCAGUGGGGAAUAUUGGGCAAUGGGCGCAAGCCUGACCCAGCAACGCCGCGUGAAGGAAGAAGGCUUUCGGGUUGUAAACUUCUUUUAAGAGGGAAGAGCAGAAGACGGUACCUCUUGAAUAAGCCACGGCUAACUACGUGCCAGCAGCCGCGGUAAUACGUAGGUGGCAAGCGUUGUCCGGAUUUACUGGGUGUAAAGGGCGUGUAGCCGGGCUGACAAGUCAGAUGUGAAAUUCCGGGGCUCAACCCCGGACCUGCAUUUGAAACUGUUGGUCUUGAGUAUCGGAGAGGCAGGCGGAAUUCAUAGUGUAGCGGUGAAAUGCGUAGAUAUUAGGAGGAACACCAGUGGAGAAGGCGGCCUGCUGGACGACAACUGGCGGUGAGGCGCGAAAGCGUGGUGAGCAAACAGGAUUAGAUACCCGAGUAGUC
rnacentral:rRNA from 1 species